rnacentral:rRNA from 1 species
AAUAGUUUUUUAAAUGGAAACUGGGAUGAAUGGAAGGAUGAGAUUUAUACUGUCUUAAAUUAAAUUAUUGAAUUUAUAAUUUAAGUAAAAAUACUUAAAUGGGAAUAUGGGACGAGAAGACCCUAUAGAAUUUUAUAUAAAUUUAUUAUAUAAUUUUAAAAAUAAAAAUUUAAUAAAUUUAUAUUUUAUUGGGAGGAUAGAUAAAUUAAAAGAACUUUAAUAAUAAUAAAUCCAUUAAUUUAUGAAUUAUUUAAUAAAUAAAUGAGUGGCUAUAAAGUUUAAGUAGAAUUAAUUACCUUAGGGAUAACAGCGUGAUAUCUUUGGAGAGAUCUUAUUAAUAAAGAUGAUUGC